UCAUGAAAUUUGAUUGAAUUGUGUGAAUAAUGAAAAUGUUGUUGUUAAACCCAUGAAAUUUGAUUGAAUUUUGGGAAUGAUGAAAAUUUUAUUGUUAAACCCAUGAAAUUUGAGUGAAUUGUGUGAAUAAUGAAAAUAUUAUUGUUAAACCCAUAAGAUUUGAUUGAAUUAUGGGAAUGAUAAAAAUGAUGAUGUUAAACCCAUUAAAAUUUGAUUGAAUUGUGGGAAUAAUGAAAAAGAUGAUGUUAAACCCAUGAAAUUUGAUUGAAUUGUGGGAAUGAUGAAAAUGUUGUUGUUAAACCCUUGAAAUUGAAUUGAAUUGUGUGCAUGAUGAAAAUGAUGUUGGUAAACCUAGGAAAUUAUAUUGGAUUGUGUGAAUGAGGAAUACGUUGUUGUUAAACCUAUGAAAUUUGAUUGAAUUAUGGAAAUGAUGAAAUGUUGAUGUUAUACCCAUGAAAUUUGAUUGAAUUGUGUGAAUAAUGAAAAUGUUGUUGUUAAACCCAUGAAAUUUGAUUGAAUUGCGGGAAUGAUGAAAAUGUUGAUGUUAAACCCAUGAAAUUUGAUUGAAUUGUGUGAAUAAAGAAAAUGUUAUUGUUAAACCCAUAAAAUUUGAUUGAAUUGUGGGAAUGAUGAAAAUGUGAGGUUAAACCCAUGAAAUUUGAUUGAAUUGUGGGAAUGAUGAAAAUGUUAUUGUUAAACCCAUAAAAUUUGAUUGAAUUGUGGGAAUGAUGAAAAUGUGAGGUUAAACCCAUGAAAUUUGAUUGAAUUGUGGGAAUGAUGAAAAUGUGAGGUUAAACCCAUGAAAUUUGAUUGAAUUGUGGGAAUGAUGAAAAUGUUGAUGUUAAACCCAUGAAAUUUGAUUGAAUUGUGUGAAUAAAGAAAAUGUUGUUGCUAAACCCAUGAAAUUUGAUUGAAUUGUGGGAAUGAUGAAAAUGUUGAUGUUAAACCCACGAAAUUUGAUUGAAUUGUGUGAAUGAUGAAAAUGUUGUUGUUAAACCUAUGAAAUUUGAUUGGAUUGUGUGAAUGAUGAAAACGUUUUUGUUAAACCUAUGAAAGUUGAUUGAAUUAUGGAAAUGAUGAAAAUGUGAUGUUUAACCCAUGAAAUUGGAUUGAAUUGUGGGAAUGAUGAAAAUGUUGAUGCUAAACCCAUGAAAUUCGAUUGAAUGGUAGGAAUGAUGAAAA
rnacentral:lncRNA from 1 species